rnacentral:rRNA from 1 species
CGCGGCCCGAGUGGUGGUCGAUAUUAUUGAGCCUAAAACGUUCGUAGCCGGUCUUGUAAAUCCUUGGGUAAAUCGGCCAGCUUAACUGUCCGAAGUCCGGGGAGACUGCAAGACUUGGGAUCGGGAGAGGUCAGAGGUACUUCUAGGGUAGGGGUAAAAUCCUGUAAUCCUAGAAGGACCACCGGUGGCGAAGGCGUCUGACUAGAACGAAUUCGACGGUGAGGAACGAAGCCCUGGGGCGCAAACG